rnacentral:lncRNA from 12 species
AUGUUUCUGCUCUCGUCAGCCAUCAGCAGCUUUCAUGAGGAACUGAUCCGACAACAGAGAACAUCCUUAUCUCACUCCAGCUGUCUCUGUCUGUCCACCUGUCUGUCUCCAUCUGCCUCUGUCUGUCUUUCCACCUGUCUGUCUCGAUCAGUCUCUGUCUGUCCACCUGUCUGUCUGUCUGUCUGUCUCUGUCUGUCCAUCUGUCUGUCUGUCUGUCUGUCUCUUUCUGUGCCUCUGUCUGUCUUUCUGACUGUCUGCGUCUGUCUGUCUUUCUGUCUGUCCACCUGUCUGUCUGUCUGUCUGUCUCUGUCUGUCCCCCUGUCUGUCUGUCUGCCUGUCUGCCUCUGUCUGUCUUUCUGUCUGUCCACCUGUCUCUCUGUCUGUCUCUCUGUCUCCGUCUGCCCACCUCUCUGUCUGUCCGACUCUCUGCCUCUGUCUGUCUUUCUGUCUGUCCACCUGUCUGUCUCUCUGUCUGUCUGUCUCUGUCUGUCCACCUGUCUGUCUGUCUGUCUGUCUGUCUCUGUCUGUCCACCUGUCUGUCUGUCUCUAUCUUUCUGUCUGUCUCCAGUCUCUAUCUGUCUGUCUGUCUCCAUCUGCCUCUGUCUGUCUGUCUGUCUGUCUUUCUGUCUGUCCACCUGUCUGUCUGUCUGUCUGUCUGUCUCUGUCUGUCCACCUGUCUGUCUGUCUGACUGUCUGCCUCUGUCUGUCUUUCUGUCUGUCCACCUGUCUGUCUCUAUCUGUCUGUCUGUCUCCAUCUGCCUCUGUCUGUCUGUCCACCUGUCUGUCUCCAUCUGUCUGUCUCCAUCUGUUUUUCUGUCUGUCUGUCCACCUGUUUUUCUGUCUCCAUCAGUCUCUAUCUGUCUGUCCAUCUACCUGUCUGUCUGUCUGUCUGUCUGUCCACUUGUCUGUCUCCAUCAAUAUCUGUCUGUCUGUCCACAUGUCUGUCUAUCUCCAUCUGUCUCUGUCUGUCUGUCUGUCCACCUGUCUCUGUUUGUCUCCAUCAGUCUCUAUCUGUCUGUCUGUCUCCAUCUGUCUGUCUGUCUGUCCACCUGUUUUUCUGUCUCCAUCAGUCUCUGUCUGUCUGUCUCCAUGUGUCUCUCUGUCCGUCUGUCCACCUGUCUGUCUCCAUAUGUCUCUGUCUGUCUGUCUGUCUCCAUAUGUCUCGCUCUCUGUCUGUCCACCGGUCUGUCUCCACCUGUCUGUCUGUCUGUCUGUCUGUCCACCGGUCUGUCUCCAUCUGUCUCCACCUGUCUGUUUGUCUCCAUCUGUCUUUAUCUGUCUAUCCACCUAUUUUUCUGUCUCCAUCAGUCUCUGUCUGUCUGUCUGUCUCCAUAUGUCUCUCUCUCUGUCUGUCCACCGGUCUGUCUCCACCUGUCUGUCUGUCUGUCUGUCUGUCUGUGGUGUGUCAUAGGUCAGUUGUGUUGGUUAGUUGCAGUGUUAGGAUUGGUUUUAACUAAGCGCCUCAUAAGUGGGUUCAGAAGUCAC